GACGAACGCUGGCGGCGUGCUUAACACAUGCAAGUCGAACGGAAAGGCCCUGCUUUUGUGGGGUGCUCGAGUGGCGAACGGGUGAGUAACACGUGAGUAACCUGCCCUUGACUUUGGGAUAACUUCAGGAAACUGGGGCUAAUACCGGAUAGGAGCUCCUGCUGCAUGGUGGGGGUUGGAAAGUUUCGGCGGUUGGGGAUGGACUCGCGGCUUAUCAGCUUGUUGGUGGGGUAGUGGCUUACCAAGGCUUUGACGGGUAGCCGGCCUGGGAGGGUGACCGGCCACAUGGGGACUGAGAGACGGCCCAGACUCCUACGGGAGGCAGCAGGGGGGAAUAUUGCACAAUGGGCGGAAGCCUGAUGCAGCAACGCCGCGUGCGGGAUGACGGCCUUCGGGUUGUAAACCGCUUUCGCCUGUGACGAAGCGUGAGUGACGGUAAUGGGUAAAGAAGCACCGGCUAACUACGUG
rnacentral:rRNA from 1 species